rnacentral:rRNA from 1 species
GAUGAACGCUGGCGGCGUGCCUAAUACAUGCAAGUCGAACGAAACUUCUUUAUCACCGAGUGCUUGCACUCACCGAUAAAGAGUUGAGUGGCGAACGGGUGAGUAACACGUGGGCAACCUGCCCAAAAGAGGGGGAUAACACUUGGAAACAGGUGCUAAUACCGCAUAACCAUAGUUACCGCAUGGUAACUAUGUAAAAGGUGGCUAUACUACCGCUUUUGGAUGGGCCCGCGGCGCAUUAGCUAGUUGGUAGGGUUAAGGCUUACCAAGGCAAUGAUGCGUAGCCGAAUUGAGAGGUUGAUCGGCCACAUUGGGACUGAGACACGGCCCAAACUCCUACGGGAGGCAGCAGUAGGGAAUCUUCCACAAUGGGCGAAAGCCUGAUGGAGCAACGCCGCGUGGGUGAAGAAGGUCUUCGGAUCGUAAAACCCUGUUGUUAGAGAAGAAAGUGCGUGAGAGUAACUGUUCACGUUUCGACGGUAUCUAACCAGAAAGCCACGGCUAACUACGUG